rnacentral:lncRNA from 1 species
ACAAAUACACCCACUCCACCACCUGCCAUGACACCCUCCCCAGUCUCGUCACCUCCACCAAUGAUGUCCACACCUCCUUCAGCAAUGAGCCCUGGCCCAAGUUCAAGCCCACCUUCACCACCGGCUCCUGCAGCUUCACCGCCGGCUCCUGCAACUUCACCACCGGCUCCUGCAGCUUCACCGCCGGCUCCUGAAGCACCGGCUUCUGCACCUUCACCACCUGCUCCUGCAGCACCAGCUCCAGCUGUGGCGCCACCAGGAAAUGGAGCUUUUGUUCAUGGAAAUAGAAUGACCUUGUCGGCAUUGCUUGGAGGAGUAGCAUUUCUGUUUGUUUAGUUACAACAUUUCAUGUAAGAGCUUAGCUUGAUGUAGAUUAUGAUCAUGAUGUUAUCUGUGUAUUCUUUUUGUCUUGUAACUUUGCUUUUCUUGUUUCUUCUGGAUGAUUCUUCGAUGACCUGCAUUUGUUUUUGAAUGUUUUAGAGAUUUAAUUAAUUGUGUUGCAGCUCUUGUGUAGAAGCAUUUUGGCUUCAGCUGAAUAAAGAUCUUGUUCUUGAUCGUCUUCGUAUUAUGCCUGCCCGUUUCCUCUCAUGCAUGGCAUUGAUAUUUUACUUGCAAGACUUCAAACUUCUUGAUAUCUGAACUAUAAAGGAGAUUGGUUUGAUU